rnacentral:rRNA from 1 species
GCGCACGGGUGAGUAACACGUAUGUAAUCUGCCUUUAGGUGGGGGAUAACUUCGGGAAACCGGAGCUAAUACCGCAUAAUGCAGCGGGGCCGCAUGGCCACAGUUGUUAAAGAUUUAUUGCCUAGAGAUGAACAUGCGUCGCAUUAGCUAGUKGGCGGGGUAACGGCCCACCAAGGCGAUGAUGCGUAGCUGGUCUGAGAGGAUGAUCAGCCACACUGGCACUGAGACACGGGCCAGACUCCUACGGGAGGCAGCAGUGAGGAAUAUUGCGCAAUGGAGGAAACUCUGACGCAGCCACGCCGCGUGCAGGAAGAAGGUCCUAUGGAUCGUAAACUGCUUUUAUUCGGGACGAAUGGGAAGGUUUCGACCUUGAGUGACGGUACCGAUUGAAUAAGCACCGGCUAACUCCGUGCCAGCAGCCGCGGUAAUACGGAGGGUGCAAGCGUUGUCCGGAAUCAUUGGGUGUAAAGGGUGCGUAGGCGGGUUUUUAAGUCUGGGGUGAAAGUCUGCGGCUCAACCGUAGGAUUGCCUUGGAUACUGGAGACCUUGAGUGUAACAGAGGCCGGUAGAAUUCGUGGUGUAGCGGUGAAAUGCAUAGAUAUCACGAAGAAUACCAGUGGCGUAGGCGGCCGGCUGGGUUACAACUGACGCUGAGGCACGAGAGCGUGGGGAGCAAACAGGAUUAGAUACCCUGGUAGUCCACGCCGUAAACGAUGUAUACUAGGUGUUGGG